AAGGGUUGGAAGUGGAGGUGCAGGUGUUUUGCUGGUGAUCUCUGCCUACUUGAGGCCUUCUGAAGGACCAGAAGAACAGAGGUGUUGGAAGCCAAGUCUGCAGAGCACAGAGUGGGACACAUGGAGAAGAUUGCUUUACAGCACAUAUGAUUUUCAGAUUGGGCGACAAAGAACAAGAACAA